GACGAACCGUGCGAACGUUGUUCGGAAUCACUGGGCUUAAAGGGCGCGUAGGCGGGUGUGCAAGUCUGUGGUGAAAGCCUCCAGCUUAAACUGGAGAAGUGCCAUGGAUACUGCACAUCUUGAGGAGGGGUAGGGGCAUCUGGAACGGUCGGUGGAGCGGUGAAAUGCGUUGAUAUCGACCGGAACUCCGGUGGCGAAGGCGAGGUGCUGGACCCUUUCUGACGCUGAGGCG
rnacentral:rRNA from 1 species